GCUGGGUGAUUGUCGACCACCUGUAGCCCGAGACGUUAAAGGGUGCAAAUCUGCGGUGUGGUGUGCGGGUUGGAAUCCUGCAUGCAGGAAUGGGGUGUUGAUCUGGGUGUCCGACUGAGGCGACUCUCACCACGGACGUCACCACGGAGGUGGAGGCGCCCGGGGCGAUAAUGAGGCCCGCACCGGCGUAGGCUGGCAACAGAGCACGCAAAAGGGCCCGGGGCUGCCAGCAGUGGGAUAGCACUCGUGAGCUUCAGCCUGCUUGUAGCCUUCCCAAUACCAUCGCGCUUUCUUUUUU
rnacentral:SRP_RNA from 1 species